UGGACGCAUCACUGGUGCAUCACUGGUGUUCGGGUUGUCAUGCCAAUGGCACUGCCCGGUAGCUAAAUGCGGAAAAGAUAAGUGCUGAAAGCAUCUAAGCACGAAACUUGCCCCGAGAUGAGUUCUCCCUGACCCUUUAAGGGUCCUGAAGGAACGUUGAAGACGACGACGUUGAUAGGUCGGGUGUGUAAGCGCAGCGAUGCGUUGAGCUAACCGAUACUAAUGAACCGUGAGGCUUAACCUU
rnacentral:rRNA from 1 species